rnacentral:rRNA from 1 species
AGUGAACGCUGGCGGUAGGCCUAACACAUGCAAGUCGAACGGCAGCACAGUAAGAGCUUGCUCUUACGGGUGGCGAGUGGCGGACGGGUGAGGAAUACAUCGGAAUCUACUUUUUCGUGGGGGAUAACGUAGGGAAACUUACGCUAAUACCGCAUACGACCUACGGGUGAAAGCAGGGGAUCUUCGGACCUUGCGCGAUUGAAUGAGCCGAUGUCGGAUUAGCUAGUUGGCGGGGUAAAGGCCCACCAAGGCGACGAUCCGUAGCUGGUCUGAGAGGAUGAUCAGCCACACUGGAAAUGGGACACGGUCCAAACUCCUACGGGAGGCAGCAGGGGGGAAUAUUGGACAAUGGGGGCAAGCCUGAUCCAGCCAUCCCGCGUGGGUGAAGAAGGCCUUGGGGUUGAAAAGCCCUUUUGUUGGGAAAAAAAAGCAGCAGGUUAAUCCCCCGCUGUUCUGACGGUACCCAAAGAAAAAGCACCGGCUAACUUCGU